CCUACGGGAGGCAGCAGUGAGGAAUAUUGGUCAAUGGACGAAAGUCUGAACCAGCCAUGCCGCGUGAAGGAAGACGGCUCUAUGAGUUGUAAACUUCUUUUAUACGAGGGUAAAAGCAGACACGCGUAUCUGUCUGCAAGUAUCGUACGAAUAAGGAUCGGCUAACUCCGUGCCAGCAGCCGCGGUAAUACGGAGGAUUCAAGCGUUAUCCGGAUUUAUUGGGUUUAAAGGGAGCGUAGGCGGGUGGAUAAGUUAGAGGUGAAAGCUUGAGGCUCAACUUCAAAAUUGCAUCUGAUACUGGCAGUCUAGAGAGUAGUUGAGGUAGGCGGAAUGUAUGGUGUAGCGGUGAAAUGCUUAGAUAUCACACAGAACCCCGAUUGCGAAGGCAGCUUACCAAGCUACGUCUGACGUUGAGGCUCGAAAGUGUGGGGAUCAAACAGGAUUAGAUACCCUGGUAGUC
rnacentral:rRNA from 1 species